rnacentral:rRNA from 1 species
AUGGCCGCCCCCUCUCCUUCCCCUGAGAUCCGUCAAGGUCUGACGGACGUCAUCAUGGGUGGCGUGUGUAUAGGCACGGUGCCACGGACGCGGACCUCUACGGCAACCCUCCCGUCAGAUCCAGUUCAAGGCAUAUUGAGUACUGCAUGCAUAGAGCCAAUUCUUGUAUUUGAUGGAGGCCUUUUGACAAUGAAGAGCGAACAAGAGGUCAAACGUGCAAGGUCACGAAAUGAAAAUCUUGAGCGUGCCAGGAAACAUGAAGCAACUGGGAAUUCCCGUGCUGCUUUUGACUGCUACCAGAAAGCUCACCUAAAACUGCUUUCGAACUGA